AGUUGGGUGUAAAAUAAACGGUCAAAAUUAAAUGAUCUCAUCAUAAUAGAUUAUCAGAUUCUUCAAAUUAAAAUUAGAGUUAUUGAUCUUUAUUUAGAUAGUGAAUAGAAUUUUUUAUCAAAAAUUCAACUAAUUCCGAUUCUUUUACGCCGUUAAAAUUAGCAAGUAUGUCAUACCGGCUGUUAAAAAUUGUCAAUUCUAAGAUCUUUUCAUCGAAAGAUGUCAAAAAAUCAAGAAAUUUGAUUUAUAGAAGUUUUAAAUACUCUAAAUUAUAUUUAACGGUAUGCAUCGUCAAUUCGAAAGCUUUAUCAUCGAAAACGACUUAUAAGUAUGAAGACGAUCGUAUUCAUAAGAGUAUAGUAGCUGGACUCUUAUUAAGAGAUCCUCAAUUAUUGGCAAUUUAUGAGUGAUGAGUAUUAAGUGAACAGAAAAGCCUUCAUUCAAUUAUUGGGCCCAACACUAUCAUAAUGGGCCGGCCAAUGAGGCCCAUUGGGCCCAUGUGUGUUCGUGAAGGCGCUUUUGGUUCUUCAGUUACAUGUUUAAGUCAUUUUUUUAGAAUAAAAUAAAUUAUCUUGCAGGUGAAAUAUAUUAAUUUUCUUAACAAAAUAAUAUUUUUCAAGAUCUUUAAGUCAAAACAUUAACAAACAACAAAUUAAUGCGAGAAUGAGAUUAGUCAGAUUAUUUAUUUAUUUAUUUAUUUAUUUUGUUUCUUUGCGGCGUACAACUGUACAAGAGCUGUCAAUUUAACCCCACAGAACCCUAAAGAAAAAUGAAAUUAAUAUUUGCCCCCAAAAAACAAAUAUAUACCCACUGUAUCUCCCUUGCACAGAAACUGACUCGGAUUGAAAAUAAUGUUAAUACUAAAUAAAUUUUAACAAAAAAAAAAAGGUCUUAAUUAUAUACAACUCCAGCAAACACUUUUCUACACCAAACCAAACCUCCCACAGCUGACAAAAGAUGCCAUGCUGAUGGAUGCACUCCAAUAUAAUAAUUGUGAAAUAAUAUGAAACAGACGUUUGUUUAUGUGAAUCGCAAAUACUAAGCAACCAUUCUAAAAGCACGUACUGAUUGAAAGGACGUAUCUAUUGUAUUUAAGGGUUCAGCCAUAAAACUUUAUGGGUUUCGACCUGAAUCGAUCCAACUAGACAUUAGGUGUACUGUUGGAUCUCUUGCCAUUAGGCUAUUGUGGACCACGGUCCCAUUGGUCAUACCGAACUUGAGAGAGAGAUAGGUUAACCUAUUAAUUUUCUUGGCUUAUUGUUACAGGACAGAAGUAUAGACAUAUUUUAUCUAGUAAUAAAUAAUUAAUAUUUUAUAAAAGUUUAAGCUAUAAGAGAAUGAUAUUUAUUAUUAUUUUUCUGAAGAAAAGAUAGUAAACUAUCUGCGUUGGGUAUAAGAAAAAUAAAUUAAAGUAACUGUGCCUCAAAAAAUAAUAAUAAAAAAAGCCUAAGUUUCAUAUAGGGUAAACUUCAAAUACCACCCAGUCCACCCUUGUAGUUUCGCACUUUCUUAUUUUAGUACCUUGUGAUUUAAAGUAUAUCACGUUCACCUGUGGUUUCAUUUUAUCUUUACAUCAGCUUCUUUGCUAAUAUUUUGUUAAAUUAUAUAUAAAAAACUUUAGAUACCCCAAUUAGAUUUAUCACAUAUAUAUGUGAUAAACCUAAUUGGAGUAUCUAAAGUGAAUAUAUUCACUUUAGUACCUUUUAGUUUUAACUUUGUCAUUGAUUUAGCGAAAAAAAUUAGUAAAAUCGAUAAUAAAAAGAUAAAAAUGAAACUACAAAGCACUAAAUUGAUACACUUUAAAUCAUAGGGUAGUAAAAUAAAAAAAAAUGUGAAACCACGUAAUGGUAUUUAUAGUUUUCCCUUUCAUAUAAAUAACCUUCCCACUUUUCCAAGAAACUGCAAAAAUCUGCGUGCACUUUGGGUGCUCUUACUCUUAUAAUUCCGAAAAAUCAAGUUCUUUCUUUUAUGUUUGUGCGCAAAAUUUUUUAGUAAGUAUAAGAUAUAGACUAAAAUUAUAGGAGUCUAACGGAAUUCGAACUCCAUACUUUCUAAUCUAAUACUAUAAUAAAAGAUUUAGGAAUUAUCUUAACACCUUCGUUCAUGUGUUAAAUAAAGUAAUGUGCUAUUAAACACAAAUUUUUGGGGAAUUAAACUUUAACAUCUUUAGGAUCUGAGGGAGCUUAGAACUACUAGCUAUAUAUGAGUCUUAAUUUUGAUAAAAGGAAUAAAGGCAAAAUCAUAAGAGUAGUGAACACUAGCACCAAACUGAAUAUAUCCGGGUGCAAUGGUCUAUAGAAAAUAUUUAUAAGAGUUUACACGUGAAUAAAAUAAAUUUAUAUCGAAUAAUUAAUAAAAUAUAAAGAUUUAGAUUAGAUAGGUUCUAUUAGGUAUAUAUGUCACAUUAUUAUGCAUGCCUAACAAAAAAAAGUGCAUAUUUUCUAGCAAUUGUAAUAGAAGAAACUAAAACAAAAUUUUCUAACAAAUCAACUCAAUAUCUCCAAAAUAUAUUCCAUUAAUCUUACCCAAAAAUCACAAAAAAAUACAUCUGAAGUUCAACAAAGUGUGAUCCUCAUUAAGGGUGUUAGCACAUAAAAUCAAAGCAUGGCAAUUUCACCUUUAGAUGUGGCGGCAUUCGGUGGCGGCGGCGGUAGCGACGAUGACGACGAUAGCGAUUCUGAAUGGGUGGUAUCGUCGCUCUCGACGUCGAGCAAGCUGCUUAUCGACCGAGCCUUCACCGUCGUCGCGAUCUUCGUCGUCGUCGACGGCCCGUCCCCUACUCCUUUCUUCGUCGAGCAGCCGAGUCGACCGCGCACGCUACUCACGCUCCGCAGCCGCGCCCCCUUCCCCAAGUGAUGCUCGCACAGCGAGUAGCCGACGAGCGUCGGCUGGCAGCACCGCCACCCCCGCCCGUUCACGCGGCUGCACCGUGACCCCUCCAUCAGCACCGCCGGGCUGCGCCUUCGCCGCUUUUCCCUCUUCCCAUGUUCAUCACUUCCAUUAGAGCUACUACUAGCUUUGGCUCUCAUGUACUUGGCCUUGUUCUUUUCCCCCACUAUUAUUGUUUUCUCUUCUGGUUCCCCAUCACAACCAUUGAAUUUGCUUCAUGAUCAAGCACAUGUAGCCAAAAGAAAAGAAAAGAAGAACAACACAAUUUAUUACAAUCCACAUUUUUUUUCACAUGAUCUCUUGUAUGUAGCUAAUUAAGACUAUGAUUGUGAUCAGCUAGAAUAUACAUUGUAUGUAUUCCAGAUUACAACCAUCAAAGUUGAUUCAUAAAACAAAAAGGAAAGAGAAGAGAACAGAAAAUAAGAAUACAAAACAUCACAACCCAAUCACACAUUAGAUCUCUUAGGUAGCUCACAUUAUGGCUAGUUACAACAAUUUGUGAAGUGCACCAAACAAGGCCUAUAACAAUAUUUACUAUUCACCAUUACAACAAAUAUCAUAGGUGCUUCAUCAAACAAGGAAAAUAGAAAAGAAAAGAAGAACACAUAAUGCAUCACAACCCACAUUUUAGAGCUCCUAUAAAUAGCUAACAUGAUGCUACUUAGCACAUGCACUUUGUGAAGUGCACCAACACAAGCUAUAUGUGUGGCAGUGUAACUGUUCCCCAUUACAACCAUCAUAUAUAUAGGUGCUUUAUCAUCAAUCAAAAAGAAAAGAAAAUUAAGAGAAGAGAAGAAAUUAUAAAUGAAAAGAAGAACACAUAAUGCAUCACAACCUAUACAUUGUAGAUCUCUUAUAUAUAGCUAGCUAGGAUUGUGACUCCUUAGCACCCAUUGUGAAGUGCACCAUCACAAGCUACAUAUAGAGCAAUGAACUCAUUAACAGCUACUAAAAGAAAAAGGUGCAUAAAUAUAUAGAGGUGUGUGUGAAAGGUGUGGAUAAAUGGGUGCAUGGAUGGGAUGAGAUGUGGAUGUGGAUGUGCAUGUCAUGAUGAUGGCAUGCAUGUAUUAACAUAACUUUGGAUGCCUUUUCUUUUAAUUUUCACCAUGAGGAACCAAAUAUUUAUAUUUACAAGCCAAGGCAUUUUUAGAAAGGGAAAAAGAACUAAUUUUUUUUUUUUUUAACCUACCUCUCAUUACUAUUUACUUGUUCCUCCUCCUCAAGCACCUACAAUAAAAAUCCCAAGACACCCACAUUAUUAAUUAUGUAGCUGGAAAAAGGGUCCCAAGAGGAAAAGAUACCCUUGUAUAAAAAGGAAAAGAAAAAAGAGGAGUAAAUAAAUAAAUACCUGCACAUGGGUGGUAAUGGUGGGUGAAAUGCAAGAACUUGAGAGGUGGGGAGGAGAAGGAUCAGAUCCACUACUGGGUAAACCUUUUCCCACACCAAGAUGCAGUAGAUCUCCAUCUUGGUGCAAUAGUAAUAGCCCAUCUCUUUGCUCAUGCACUUGUGUUUUCCCACUCUCUUCUUGGGGUGGAGGAGAUGGAUCUAACACCAUGGUUGUGGAUAUGAGAGGAGGAGGAGGAUGAGGAGGAGGUCUCCUUCUGAUCCUCAUAGAUGAUGAUGAUGAUGAUGAUGAUGAGAGAGAGAGAGAGAGAGAGAGAGAGAGAGAGAGAGAGAGAGAGAGAUUUGGAGGAGGUGCACAGGGACUCAAUAAGAGGGUGUAUUUUGUUUUUGUUUUUGGGUUUUUGUUUUUUUUUGGGGGGGGUGGUGAGUUGGGUUUUUAUUUGUUUAUGUAUUAGUUUAUCUUUUUUGUUGCAGUUGCAUUUUAGGUGAUGGAUUGUGAAUUGUAUCUGGUACUGUUUACUAUACAAGAUUAAUGAUAAAGGGUGGAUGGAUUUGAACAAUAAAUAAAUGAUGCAUGGUAUAAUGAUAAUGAUAAUAAUAAUAAGGGAUUAGAAUAAUUAAUAAUAAAUUAAUGUGGCUUAAUUAAUCUCCAGCCUCAGCACUGGCACGUGCCUCGCACAGGAGGUGGGGGCGCGGCACGUGCGAUCGACUAGAAAAUAUAGGUAUUAUUAUUGUAUGUCGCAUACUUUUAAUUUAACGAUUCAAUUUUUUUAGUAGUAAAAAAUCUAAAAAUAACAUAACAGUGUUGUGAUUGAUGAUAUGCCACUAAUUAAGAUGCUACAUCAUCUUUAUAUCAGCGAUGUGUUAAUAUUUCGUCAACUAAAUUGAAAUGUAGAAUUUAAUUGCAACAGUUAUGAAAGCUCGAACAAAAAAAUAUAAUAAAGUUUAAGAAUUAAGUACCACCCGCCUCAUAAUUUGAGUACCGAACAUGCAAUAUAUCCUAAAAUUAAUAAAUAUAUAGUAUAUAAAUGUAUAGAUACAUAAAAAAAAAAAAAAGGAAAAAUCCACUCGGCCCACAACACUACACAUUGGCAUGCUCCAGGUUGAGACAGUGAUGUGGCAUUCACUUUGAUUACACCAUGCAACUAAAGCAGUAGUGUGAAACUGCGAUGCUCAAACACACCUUUGAUACUUCAGUAAACACAAUAAUCAUUAACGACUAGAGAAACAUGCUCAAACACACCUGCUUUGAUACUUCAGUAAACACAAUAACCAUUAACGACUAGAGAAACAUUUUGCGAGUAUUUCGUGUGGCUGUUUCCAUCGCCAUUUUAUAGUAGCUGUGCUUGAAAUAUUAACAACGCAUAAGAACAACACUUAACAGAGAAACAUUCCUCCAUGUAAGUAACUACUUAAUCUCCUUUUUCGUAACAAUAAUAGCCAAAAGUAAUUAGGGAAUUUUAAUCUCCUUUUUUUUUUUUGCUCCAAAUUCAGUAUACAUUCACAACCCACAAAAUUUCCACUCACAACCAAAUUUUUUUCUAACAUGAAAGCUGAGCAGUACAACACUUUGGAACAUACAUCACAAUGAUAUACUAAGGAUUUUCUAUUUUCAAUAGUAUUUGCAUCAUUAAUUGCUUCAUAACCACUACAAAUUAGAACACAAAAGAGGGGGGAAAAAUGUUGUAAGUGUGGAAUAUAUCAUACAUAUAGAAGUGAUUACAUAAUUUUCUCCAGCAAAUUUACAAAAAGCACCCUAACAAGGGGAAAAAUCCACUUAAAUAUUGCACCUGCCCUAAAACCAUCCGCUAAAUUUACUAUCCAGAGCCCCAAAAGGGUUCUGGUAUUUCUAUAAUAUAUGAUCAAUAUAUAACUCAUUAAAUGCAUGACAUAUGUGCUUUAAUGGUACCGAUGAAUGACGUUCACUAAAAUUUAGGGGUUCGAACUCUCAGUGCGCUUUAGCCGCCUUUGCCUGUACCUCCAAGCUACUUGAAUGCGAGUUGCCGCCAUGUUUCUCCAAUAAGGUGACAUGUACCUGUAUGAGAAAUGCUAAUGCGUUAAUUCUUUGGUUUCAAGCAUCGAUUUGUAUGUUAUAUAUAAGUUGUCGUUGCUUAGGGCACAGCAUAUCAACUCUAUUCGAUUGGUCUCCAUCACUCUUUUUUACAAUCCCUACUAUGUUAGUUGCAGGAAGACUUUGUAGAUUGUAAAGAUACGAUAAUUGAAAUUACAUUUACCUAAUCGCCCCCUGUACACGCGGGUUGCGCAGGAAUCUUGAGAACAAUGAAGUCACUUCUUCCAGAUCAGCAGCUCGAAGCGCGAAGGCUUCGACAUUAGUUAGGCAUCUAACAGUUCUGGUAGCAAGCAAACGAAGCCCAGCAAAUCGAAUCCUACCUCCCUCUGAAAAAGGUGAAUUUGCCACAAUUUUGUUAGUUAGAACUGUUAGAUAUGUCUCGAAUUCUAGUACCGCAAGAUCUUCUAACCCUAUUCUGUUUUGAUUAUCCCAUUAAGUUAAGUUUAAAUUAUGUCUAAUUUUAUUGAGAUAUUUCUAAUUUUAGUAGGUUUGUAUUCCUAGUUGUAUUAGGAUUUAGCUACUAUUAUAAAUAUACCCAUUAUUUCAUUGAUUUGGUGCGAAAGAUGAGAGAGAAAGUAUGGGUGUAUUUUUAGAAUUAGGGUUUUGUGAGAGAGACAUAUUUUGUACAUCACUUUGAUUAUAAUAAAGAUCUCCGCUCCGUCUUCGCCCGUGAAUGUAGGCCAGUGGCGGAAUCACGUAAAUAUUGCGUGCUUUAUUUUUCAUCUCUCUUUCUCAGAUCUCUUUUGAUAUUUUCGCACCCGAUGAACUAGAUUUUUUCGGUUUUAGUUCUAACAAGAACAAAAAGAAAUAGGCAUUUUCAGGCUAUUUCGAUUAAAAGCUCCAUCCACUUUUGAACAUUUACUACUGGAAAACUACUUAGUCUACAAAAGAAUAUUUUAGUCUAGAGAUGCCAAAGCUGUAAAAGAGUAAAAGAAGGGGGAUAAUUUUUGCAAAAAAUAUAACUAUUUCACAAAUGACUAGUUACAGGAAAAAGCUUCCUUAUUUUUUUGCUAAUUUCUUCUUACUAGAAAUAGAGCAAGCACUUAGUUUCAAUAAAAGUGAAGCAAUCAUUCAUGCUAUCCUUUAGAAGAAAACAAAAGCAUUUCAAAAUAAAGAUUAGAAAAAUGAAAGGUGAACAUGACCUCGAUUCACUGAAGAGUGUUCGAGACACCACGUUAGGAGCUCCUCGCCGCACACAUCGCCUUCCUGUAGUGGAGUAAUAAAUCCAUCGGCUCCAAUGCUUUCCAACUUACCCCUCACUAUGAAAACCAUCUUCUCGACAGGCCCUCCCUGAUAUAGAAUGUCGCUCCCUCUUAUGUAUAGUGUUUGUCUCAACUUUUCACAUAUAGCAUCCAAUAUUGGCUCAUCCAUUAGUUUGAAAAUCCUAACCUGAAAAGGAGAUGCAAAAUACUCAAUAUAUGAUCAAAAAAGAAGCCCUAGGCCCAAUAUAAUUGGGAUAACUAAAUGGGUUCUUAUCUGCCUUAAUGUUUAUGAUUCCCAAAGAUCAUAGUCUUAGAAAUUGUAACAGGUUAUCUGGUUUUCCUUGACGAAGAUACUGCAAUAAUUAAAUACUAAAUAAAAGCUUAAAGAUUUAGAAAUGUCCUGUAGAAACUGUUGGAAUCACCCAGAUGUAGUCUUAGAAAUGAAGGUUUCCAAGAUCAUAAAAUGGUAUACACAGAGGUUUCCCUUCUUUUUCCUUUCUUUAUGGGGUGUGGCAAGUGAACUUGUGCUAGAGAUGAAACUGCAAAAGUAAAAGGCUUAUGGGAGCCGGGUUCACUAUAGACCACAAACUAUACAGUUCACAUGCCACUGCUUUCUAUUGGGAAAAUAAAGUGGUCCAUCUUACUGUAAACAUCAAAGAAUUAAAAGGUUCCAACCUUUUGUAUUAAGAAACUCACCUUGUUGAGAAACUUAAAGAAAUGACGGCGUAUUUCUCUUUGUAUGUCCUCCGGUAAGUUCUCAAGUAGCUCUUCUUCAUUCACACCCCGAGUAGCAGCCCAAGUGAAUCUUUCUGCUUGUCUCACUCGUCUAAAAAAAAUCCCAUAGUUUGAAGGUUAUUCACCCAUUAAAAUCGAAAAGUAUCGGAAUAGAAUAAAUAGACACACAAAAACGAAUAGAAAGAUACGACCUGAUUUUAGCACCUUACGCUGCAUUAUUUUUUAUUUCAGUACCUCACAAUCUGGUUCUGUCAGACCUUAACACUUUUCUUCUCUCAAAAAAAUAAAAUAAAAAAAAAAAUCAGAGAAUAUCAUGUCAGGUAGCAAACUCUUCUGUUUAAGGCUAUAGAAUUUCUGGCCGAAAAAGUAGGAAACUUGGAAUACCAUCAUAGUUCCAACGGGGAGGUACCAAAAUAAAAAAUAAUGAAAAUUAGGUAUUAAAGAUAGAUUAGAAGAGACAAUACGACCUUCAUACACAGUGGGGGCAAUUAAUUUUAUUUUCUAUAUAUAAUAGUAAUGGGUGGGAAACGGCAGAAACACAAUUAUCUAACAACAAGUUAAAAACUGGAAGAAGUUUUUUCUAUCAAACCUUCUCAAGUCUUCAGGCAAGCGUCGAUGACUCAUCCACUGUUCAACAUCACGUCGUCUAAGUUGCAUUUCUAGUCUCCUGGAAAAAAUAAAAGGGACAAGCGAAAUGAAGCGUUAUCUGAGGUUCAAUGAGAUUUAAUGCAUUUUUGCAAAAUAUACCAACAAGGAGAACUGAGCACAUCUGCUAUUAAGAUUUUGUCUAUCAUGAAUCACACGAUGUUAGAUAACUUGGUGAAUAAUUUCUCCUAAUGUUUCGAAGAACGAACAUUACGAAAUAUAACUUGUUUGCCGAAGGUCAAAACUUAAAGUAAAUGUCUUGAACUGUAACUACAUUUCUAAAAAGCUCCUCCAUAGUUCGUCUCACUAAAUUUUUCUCAAAACUACUGCAGCCUACAUAUUAUGUCCUAAAAUUGCAUUUUUUUCCAACAACAUAACACUGAGAAUGACACCUCCUAAUAGUUGAUAUAUAUCUGCAAAUCAAUUACGAAUAUGAAUCCAACAUAGAAAUUAUUGUUCAAAUAAAUGUACCAGCAACCUUCAUGCCUACAAUUAUUUCAAUUGAAUAGUGUCAAAUUACCAUUUAGAUUUCGUACCUUCUUUCGAGAGCUUGGAGAAAAUUCUGCAUGUUUCCAAUGAGCAAGGCAAAAAGCAGCAGCCCCAAUCCAACAAUAGCCAUGGUGAACAGAACUUCCCAUUCAAAAUAACUCGGAACCAGAUUUCCAGCUAAGGUGCUGAUUUGCUGCAGCAGAAAUUUAAAGUUUGUGAGAAUCACCAAAAGGGGGGAAAAAGUUACGUAGUUAAACAUUGCAGAACCCUCACAAUAUCUAAAAGAAUAAAAUAAUCGAAAAAAAAACAAUUCUUUCAUAUUACAUUAAGCACCCUCUUGUCAAUUUAAAUAUUCCACACCUAAGGGUAGUCCUCUUAGCAUUAGAACUUGUAAACAGCUCUAAAUUUUUCCACAAAUUCGCACAUAAAAGCGUAGAAGCUUGGGCGAAUAGCUUCCCAUUAGGAAUUAGUAUAUACUUUGUAAAGCUAGUUUAUGCAGAAUAAAUAAUGGCGAAAUCUGACUCUUUGAUCUCAUAUUAGUAGGUGAAGAAGCAUACAUAUGUACGUACAUCGACAUACAUAUAUACAAACAUGCGUGCACAUACACACACACACACACGAGCAAAAUGAAUGAAACAUUUAUGUUGCUUAUAGCUGCAUAAUCGAGAGUUUAUCUCAAAGAAGCCACCACAGAAAAGUUUUGGAAAGAUCAUUAGGAAGAAUUAGGGAAGAAACAUCUUGAAGAUAAUGUACAAAUGCCAUCCCAUGAUAUUGUCUUUUGGGGAAGUAGGAAUAAACAUAUACCUGAAACCCCCAAAAUAACGAAUAUACAUAUCGCUUAACAACGCUGUGCUCUGUGGUCAGCAAAACAGCCUGCUGAUAAAUACCAUAAUUGAAUGGUCCAUCACUACUCACAAAGCAAUUAUUAGAAUUGCCCUCAUUUUUCCACGCCUGCCGACUAGGAUCAAACUGCUGAAUAUUAUUUCCACGUCCGCAAUCUAUGAGUGUUUGACAGUAUGGAGUUUUAGACAAAGAGCAAGCAUCCCGUAGACACUGAUUUACCCUCUGAAAAGGAAAAACAGAUACAAAUAAUUAACUGUGUACUAAUGAUAUAAAUGAAAUAUCCGUGAAAAAGUAUUAUCAAAAUGACAAGGAGUGAAGAACCAGAGGUUUUAUUAUUGAAAAAAAAAAGUAAGCAGAAGAUAAGCUUGAUAGAUAAAACAAAUAACAUGUGCAUCAAAUCAUGCAAGAGAAACUAGUAAGAUGGAGGAUAUGGUCGGAUUGGAUAUCAAUACUUUAGUAUAUUGAAGUAGAAACUACUAUUGGAAUCAGGGUUUAUGGAUAAUAACAUGACGUUCUGCAAAAUGAGGUGGUUCGUGGGACUACUUGGGGCACGGGACGUCGGGAACUAAGCAGAAAGAUAAGAAAAUGAUAACCCUACAGACUAUCUAAGCUCUAAUGUUUCUGAUAGGCAAAUUUGACAUCAAGACUAGUCUAAAAUUGCAAGAAAUGUGCUGCAGUUUUCAUUGAUUAACAACAUCAACUACUGUUGAUUAACAAAAAUUAUAUCAAUUUUAAUACCAUAUUAAAUGAUUGAAAAUACUUGUUAACGAAGAUGGGAAUAUUAUUCGAGCCUUGGUUAGUUAAAAUAAAUUUUAUAAAAUUCUCACGGUUUGAGAUAUGAAACUACCUGACCCUUAAAUUUAACCACAAAAAACUAUAUUGAGAACCAUUUUAACUAGCCAUAGACUAUAUUGUUUUUACGCCACAAAUAAAUCGGGUCCUCACAGCAAGAUUUUUAACCUGCAAUCCGAAGAGAUACCAACAUGAGCCCACAACAUGUCCAGCCAAAACAAACAUCAAUAGAUUGAUAACAAAAUUAGCCCAUGCUGACUCAAAUAUGAAGCCGCUUGCCGAUUGCCCACCAAGCAAUGGUACAAAUCUGAUGAUUCUCGGAACAUAUUGAAGAAGAACAGUGGCACGUAACAGAUUUUUUGCAUAGUUCGCUGCUGAAGACCCCACAUAUUUUGGUAUUACUACUAAUAUCAUCACCUUCAUCGAAAGCAAAGAAAGAGAACCAAAGAAUGAGUUUGCAAUACGAGAUCGAAAAAUUUCUAAUCACUAGAAGCAAAUUGAUCAAUAAAUGGCAAGAACAUCAAUCUAGUGCUUAUUAAGAUCAUCAUACAAGUAAUUGAACAAAUUAUUAAGAGCCUGUAAGCCAAUAAACAGUAGCAGUUAGAAAAGAGAACACUUUUAUCUGCAGGCCGACAACUGAUAAACAAGAAAUACAUUCAAUAUCAAUGUGCACAACUAAACACCAAAGUAGGUUCAUCUGAAUUGCUCACACCACAAAAGUAAAACCAGAUUAUUUGAAGAUUAAAAAAUGAUUGCUAUAUGUGCAAUUGAUAACAUAGGAAGGUAAUAAAAUAUCAUGACAGCAUUCCACAUUGAUGACAGAUUUGUUAGGGAAAAAAAAAGAUCUUAGGAAAAGAUGAAAUGCGAAACAAUAAUGGAAGAGAAAAUAAGCUCUCGGAAGCUCAUAUUCUUUUAGGAGCUUCUUUUAAAAAUCAAAAAUCAGAACUUAGUGGCAGUAAAUGUUACUUAAUCCCAAAGACCAUAUCAUUCUAGCAACUCAUAUUUAGAUCAUUAAAUCAAAUUAAUAGUUUACAAAGAUCACCAUAAAGAAGUGUACCUGAGGAAGUGGUAAUACUACAAAGAAAUCAACUAUAAAAUAACCCUGAAGAUAAUGAAGAGCAAUUUUCUUUGGUUCAUCAACUAAAUCCCCAGCACCAACAACUCUUGAUUCUGGAGCAACAUAUGCCAAUCUAAACUGAAAAUAGACAGAAAAAUGUACAUCAGAGAAAAGUAGCUGAAUCUUACACUACUAGCAAGCGAUAAUAAUGCUUAUUUCAGACGAUGAGAUAAAAUAAUCAUACAAAAGUUAAACCGCAGAAAGGUCAAGAAACUUUUCUGGGACUACUAUUUGGACAUUAAAUUUGUACAAAACUUAUCAAAAGGGAUUAGUUUUCAGUGAAGUGCUAAUGUGUUGAUACAGUAAAAUACAGAUAGCAAUAGGAAGUCAUGCUCUACCAGUUGGCAAACUCAUGGAAACAAAAUAGUGCAUUUUUUUUAUCUUUUUUUUUUUUUUUGGCUUUCUACCAUUAUAAGAAACGGCAUAGGCACAUGCAUCCAGAUGCUCUCUUCUCAACAAAGAAUUUGUACCAUAGAUACUCCAAUUGUUCCUCUUUACCUAGUUUUGCCUUUCUAUCAAUAUUGCUAGUUUCUACGAUUAAAAAAAGAGAAUAGGCAAGUUCAUUGUCUUAGUAUAGUAAGGAUGCAUAUCUAUAUAUUCUAUAUGUUCCAUCCCUACCAAGAAAUUUCGUUACUAUCAUGUCUUAUGACACUAAGGCUUCGUUUGGUUCGGGUAUAAGUAAGAACUAGUUGUUCCAGGGAUAGGUAGAAGAUGAGGUAUAAGAUGGGUAUAGAGUAAUCUUGUGUUUGGUUGAGUAUUGGAUUUAGUCCAGGUAUAAGUAAAAUAGUGUUUGGUUGGAAUAAGUGUAAUAAGAAGGAUAGUGGAUGGUUAUAAAUAGAAAAUAAUGAUAUUGCCCUCUUUAUUAUAUUUGAAUUAAAGUUUUUAAAUUUUAUAUUUAAAAUUUUAAAUUUAAAUAUAUAACUCUUAAAUUUCAAAAAUACAAAAUUAAAAUUUGAAUUUAAAAAUCUCAAAUUCAAAAAUUCAAAGUUCUAAAUUUUUAAUUUCAAAUUUUAAAUUUAAGAUCAAAUCUAAAUUUAGAAAUAUAAAAUUUUAAAUUUUAAAUUUAAAAAAUUAAAUAUAUCAAUUUAAAAUUUACAAUUUAAUUUUUAAAAUUUAGAAUUAAAUAUUCUAAAAUUUAAUUUUAAGAUUACAAAUUAUAAAUUUUUAAAAUUUAUAAUUUAAAUUUUAAAUUUUAAAUUUAAAUUUAAAAAUUAAAUAGGGAUGGAAAUAGCUAUUCCCACCCCUAUUCCAGGGGGAGGGGUGGGAUUGUUAACCCCACCCCUUAAGUCCUUAACAGGUUAUCCCGGGAUAACCUGUUAAGGCGUGGGGUUAGCAAUCCCACCCUUUUUUUUUUUUUGCUUCUAAGAAAGAGGAUAACCUUUAUCCCACCCCUUAUACCCCAACCAAACGGCGGCCUACAUACUACCGAUAUUUAAUGAACAACCAACAUGAACAUUACUAAAGCCUCAACAAUAGUGUAAUGGAAANGGGGUGGGAUUGUUAACCCCACCCCUUAAGUCCUUAACAGGUUAUCCCGGGAUAACCUGUUAAGGCGUGGGGUUAGCAAUCCCACCCUUUUUUUUGCUUCGGUAUAAGGGGUGGGAUAAGGGGUUAUCCCACCCUUUAUACCCCAACCAAACGGGAUGUAAAGAUACUGCGCCUAGUAAUGAACAACCAACAUGAACAUUACUAAAGCCUCAACAAUAGUGUAAUGGAAAGUUGUACAUAAUGUGAUGCGUAUUUUAUUACAUCUGGAUGUUGCACAUAUUGGCAUUGCUCUCAAAGAUUUGAUGUUAUUGAUUUGCAAAGUCAUAGCUUGUUCUGGGUUUUUCUUGCUAUUCUGAUUGACUGAAUGUAGGUUUCCAGUAGUAUACUAUUAUAGUUUAACGACACUAAAUAACAAUCUUUCAAUCCAAGAAAUGGCAAUCACUACAAAAUAAUUUCGCUGAAAACAAAAAGAAUCAUCCCGAAGUAAUUGAAUAGACAUUUGAUGAAGCAACCGAUAAGAAAAUCCUUUCAAAAAUUAAUAAUAUCAUGAACAAAUAUAGAUGCAUUUACCUGAAGAAGCAUGUGUAAAAGAUAAAUUAAAUCAGUUAUGCUUCUCACAACAGCAAGGACUGUAGCGAAGGACCAGUUCAGAACUAUACACUUGUCAACCUGCUUCGGGCACAAAUGAGGAAAAAAAAAAAAAAAAAGACAACUUAGAGCUAUGUUAAACUUCAUAACAACGUUGAGAGCUACAAAGCACUGCAUGAAGAAGUUAAAUGACAUGACAAACAAGAUGCCAUUCAACAUCAGCAUCUAGAGAGAAGUAGGAGACAGGCAUCCGAUCUCUCUUGAUAAAAGUACAAUAUGUAACAAAAACUUCAAGACCGAUGAAAGGACUCCAAAAAAUGGGUUUGAUUUAUAUGACAGAAGUGUUUUCAUCAAUCUUUUGUACUUGGAAUGACAAAGCACGACAGGAACAUACUAUGAUCUUUGAGAUAUUAGCUCCACGUUUUUCUUUUGUUCUCACCUGCUGUAGCUAAAAUUUUUUGAUAAUCACCCUUUAGUCUUAACUCUUAAGCUUUUAAAAGGUAUGUAUUCUUGGUAAGUAGAGCAUGUCAUUUACAUGAUCUUCCAUAUCCACCUGGACAUAUAUACAGCAACGCAAAGCUUAUGUUAGCCUAAUCACUCCUUAGCCCCUAGAAAAAUCCAGGUCAAAAUUUUCAGGAGUUUUUAUUCAUCUACAACUCUACCCGAUGCUGUAAAGCAUGUUCUUACUAUACCAAUUUGCCUUAGAAAUAUUGUAUAUGUUCUUCACUAUCAAAAGAAAUAUUCUAAGACAUCAAUUCUUUAAAUAAAAAAAGAUAAAUUACAUAUUAAAAGCAACUAUAGUUAUUUCCUUCGAACCCAUAUAAUGCUAUUUAUUAAAAAUAUUUAAGACAGAUAGAUGAAUAGUCCGCUGCCAAAAGAUAAGAAUAACAUACCUGCUCAACAGACAGAAGGAAGAAGAAUAACGGGUCGAUGAAAAUUGCAACCAAGCAUGAUAUGACGAAAAAUUUAUUCCACUGUUGGACGACCUUAGUGUGUGGAUUCAUGAUAGGGAAGUAGGAAGCCAGAUAUGAAAGUGACUUUUUUGCCCAACCAUCAACAUCACCAUAUAGAAGGUUAUGAAGCUGGACAAGCACAAAAGUAUAAAUUAAGAGCAUGAUUGACGUAGCUAAUCAAACUUUCACUACUCAAAUCGCUUCCAACUAACAACUAAACUUAGAGGUAUCGUCUGAAGUAAGACGACUACAUCAUAAAGACAAUAGAGCAAACAAAUACGAGUCACAUCGGUAAGGGGAAAAAGCACCUUACUGUCAAGAGAAGCCGGACUUCCGUAAUAGUGCCGUUUAGUUUUCUUAUAAGCAGCAGGGCAAUCGGUACAAUCUGGAUUAUUGCAAAGCCCCAGAGGACCGGACUUCAAUAAAUGCUCAUUCCUUCCAAUAUCAUUGUGAUAGGACCAAUCAUUUCUUCUAAUUUCUUCCGGCAUGAUUGCAUGAGCAAUGCUGUUUUGUUUGCCCAGUUUAGUCCAAGUAGGCUUUUCAGCUCUCUGAUUGCUAUACAAAGGACCGCUCAUAUGUUCAAACUGGGUUGGCCUUUGAAGCCUCAAAGGACCAGUAUGAGAUACAAAAGUGUCUUCAUUUUCGUAGGUCUCGCUGACGGGUAUGCUCAUUGAAGCACUCCUAGCUGUAAAUUUUUGUAGCUCAACCUUCCUAGGCAGUAUCGGGACAUGAUCUUUGUCUCGAUCAGUCAUAUCUAAACCUGUAAGAGAGAACAUUCAAUUGAUUAAGUAAAGAAGAUUCCACCAAAAACAUAGAAAUAGGUAUUUGAAAUACGCUUUGAAUGUGUGAGACUCCUCGUUUACAAGUACGGUACACUACUUGAAUCUCAACAUAAAUAUAACAGGGUGGUUGAGUAUCUCUGCAAAUAAAACAAUAAGGAACUCAAAAAAUUGCUAGGAUGUUCAAAUUACUGCACUUAGUAACUCCAGAUUAUUCUCUCCAGUGGCCAAAUUAAUCAUGUUUUAAAAGUGGAAUCAUUUAAGAAUAAAAUUAGGAGCUCAUGCUAACUUUUUAAUGUGCAACAUAUCUGAACAAGCUUAUCAAUAACAUUCCUGCAUAAAUCAUGUCACUGGGUCUAACAAAAAGUACAAUUGUCUCAUUAUAAGCGAAAAUAAAGGAUUGAACAUGGAUCCAAAUUAUACAAAACUCUUAAUAGCACCGGAACAUGGAUCCAUAUUAACAGUACUAGAAUAUGACAUGGAAUUGUGAAGCACUACGUGCAACUAACGUUCAUUGCAAGAGAAAUGCACUAAAAUUGCUUUACAAAAAGCACAAAUUUUAAUUCAAACGAUUGAGAGAUCGAUUACAACACCCGAUCAAACUAAUUCGGACUUUAUCAUCUAAAACAAGUCCCAAAUAUUUUUUUUCCUCCAAUAAAAAAAAAACCCCCGCAAACUCCUCCAAAAUAGCUAACAAAAAUCAAAAUGGGACCCGAAAAGGAAAACCCAGAUGGGGAUUUUCACUUGCCCGACCCCAAACCCUCCAAAAUCGCACCUUUUUCGCAAAAAGGACACUUCUCAAAAGCGAGAAAAGGAGAAAUUGAGGCGAGAAUCGAAACCUGAGCUUGGCGAAUCCUCAAAAGGGCCGAAGCUUUAGCAAAGGCGAAGCUCCCCUUCUACUGGGUCUUAGACUUCGAGAAGAAGCUCAAAACUCCAUGAAAAAGAGGGCGGAGAUGGGUAGAAACCAAGCGAUUGGGAGUGGGGAGGAGGAAGAUGAAGCUUCUUGGCCACUUCCCCAAUGGCGAGGGAGCGACAGAGAGAGAGAGAGAGAGAGAGAGAGGAUGCGACAAAGAGAGAGAGAGAGAGAGAGAGAGAGAGAGAGAGAUUAGUCUUUUCGUGCGCUCACACUUGUUGUAGUCUCCAACGAGUCUUCGUAUACGCGACCCUCUCACUCUUUUGGCAACGUAUGAAUUUUUUAUUAUUAUUAUAUAUAACGGUCAGACAUACAUGAAUAGUCCCUGUACUUUCCCAAUAUUGCAUCUGUUAUAGUUUUUUUUUUUUUUUUGGGUAAACUUCAAAUAACAUCCUUAUAGUUUCGCCAUCUUCUCGAUUUAGUAUUCUAUAGUUUAAAGUGUAUCAAUUUAGUACCCUACGAUUUUAUUUUUCUUUUUUCGACAGUCCAUUAACUUUUCAUUAAAUCAUAUAAAAAGGACUUCAAAUGCCCCACCUAUAGAUCAUAUAAUAUUCACUUGAAUACUCUUUAGUUUUAACUUUGUCACUAAUUUAACAGAAAAAAUUAGCAAAAGAGAAUAACAAACAGUAAAAAAUAAAACCAUAGAAUACGAAAGUGAUACACUUUAAACCAUAUGGUACUAAAAUAAGAAAAUGUAAAACUACAGAGAUGGUAUUUGAAGUUUUUUCUUUUUUUUUUUUACUUUCCAUUCUAAUGUAUUAAAAUUUUCCGUCAACUAUCCAACCUUUCAAAAACUUAAAUUUAUUAUAUAAUCUUUCAAUUUAUUUGAUUUGAAUCGGUUAAUAAUAUUUUAACUUUUAAAUUUAAAUAAAUUAUUUAUUUUAAUAAAUUACAUAUGAAGAAUUCUAACAAUCUGUAAAGAUAAACGACAUAUUUAUUUUGAAAUCGAAGUGUCAUUGACUGACUUAAAUCAAAUAAAUUAAAAUUUUAGAUUUGUAUGUUUUUACCUACUUUGUUUUAUCAUAAAAUAACAUAUUUUAUUUCGAAAAGUUAAUGUAAGGAACUCAAUUUAACUAUUGUUUGUUUUAAUCGGGCUACUUAAUUUUUUAAAAUUUUAAUUUCUAUAACUUACCUAUCAGUUUAUUUUAUUUGAAUUAUUAGGUUACUAGAAUAAAAAUAGCUAAGAUCAAAUAAAUUUUAAAAAAUAAAUAGUAAGAUUAAAAUUUUUUGAAGAAGAUUGGAUAGUCGAGUGAAAAAAGUAUCAUGAUAUUUUUAUUUUAGAAUAAACUAUAAUAACUAAAUUAUUUUACAGAAAAAUAGAAUAGUGUAUCCCAUAUUGAUAUUGAAUAAUAUCAAACUCUAUUUCAGUAAUAAUAAUAUUUUCUAAGAAAUUGCUCUUAGAAAACCAAUUACUUAAUAAAAAUUAAUUUUGUCUUAAGGACUAGAUACAAUAUAUUCAUAAAUUUAGAAAAAAAAAUAUUUUUCCUAAAAAAGUACAUGGACCAAAUCAUAAUAUACGAACCAUGGAGGGACCAUUCGAAUAUUUUAAACUUUUAGUAAAUAAUAAUAAUAAUAAUAACGGUUGGAUUUAUUUAAUAAUUUUAUGAGAGACAGACCAAAAUACCGUGAGUCAGCAAGGACUUAAAAUAUUAGAGGUCACUUGCACCAUUGAUCCCUAACCUUCAUCCAUUUUUCAUUUUGGUUUCUUUUUUUUUUUUUUUUUUUUUUCUUUUUUUUCUUUUUUUUUUUUUUGCUAUUAGGUCCAACUAUAUAUCUUAAUUUUUGUUAAUUUUACUCAUAUAGAUCGCCGUCAUGGUCCAGUAACUUUUGAUUGAUACUGACAUUGAUGUUUUAAAGUUUGCGAAAAAGCUUGAUGACACAUUUGGCUCGAUUUUAGAAGUGUCGGAGUGCUUCAAAAGAUAUCGUAGGGAGCUUGUGCAAGAUCGAGAUGAUCGUAAUCGUGAGGACUGUAAAAUUGGCCUUGACGUGUUGUACCUGUAUAGGAGAAGUUGUUAGAGGCCGAAGCGAAAAAAUAGGUACAAGUUAGGGACCCAAUUAGUCCAAACCUGAUCCGCUGACAUCCCUAGGACUGAUAGUGCAAUUAAUUUUAAAAAUUAAGAAUUUGAUUGCAAAACAUUAAAUAUUGGGGAUAAAAAUAAAAAAAAUAAAGAUCAGGCAACAAUGGUGCAUUAACUACUUUUUUUUGUUUCGGAAAAAAAAAAUUUAUAAAACUUAUUUAAACAAUAAAUCAUUCUGAAUCUAUUUCGGAGCUUUAUACGACAUCUCAAGCAAGAAAUUUUAAAAAUUAUGCUAUAAACCUUAAAAAAUAACAUAUUGUAUACUAUAUAAGAAAUUAGAAAAAAAUACUAGUCAUUAUAUAUAUCACUCCACAAGGAUCUAGUUGGGGGAAAUAAUUAUUAUUUUAUUAAUUUAAUUAUUUUUGAUCAUCUUUUUAAAAAGAUGAUGUAAAUGGUAGGCCAACACAUUUGACAAAAAAAUUUGAGUAAAAAAAUAUCUAGCAAAAUUAAAGUGUCUAUUACAUUGACGUGACAGAUAGCGGAAUCGGCAAACAUUGUACUACUUAAGCAUUACAACUUACAUAAUGUUUCUUGUUCUUAUUUUGUUUUUUUAUUUAUCCAAAUUGACACCCAUUUACAAGUUCACUUUAUGUAUACUACUUUGGAACCUUAGGGCUGUUUGUUUUCAUCUUCUGAAUCUCCAAGGUUUAAUUCGCGACUCCAAAAAAACUCAUUGGCGUCAGCAUUUGUUUUAACGCUAAAGUUACGAGAUCUUCGAACUCCCACUCGCAAUUGUACAAAAAAAUUGACUUUUCUCAAACAAAUCAUCUUUGUUUUCGAGUACUUGAAUAUUAACUAAAUUGAUACUUUUAUCGGCUUUUCUCAAAUAAAUUAUCUUUGUUCAUGAAUCACAAGAAAAAGAAAGAUAUCUAACCAUUCGAACUUACGAGUUGGCAGACGUUCGUAAAAUUUGUUUGUAAGCAUAGCAUUAAGUAAGGAGAAAAAAAUGAUAGCGGAGAUCUACCCUCCGGAAUCAGCAAACCCCGCUAGUCUUCUUCCGGUCGACGAGCUUCCGCCAGAACGCGGUGAUCUCCCGCUGCGUCUCGAUCACGCUCUUCUUGACCACCGUCGCGUCGCCAUCGCCGUUGCUCCGCUCCGCGGUCGUUACGUGCGCCACCGUGGUCUUGACACGGCUCGCCCGCACGUCGAACUCCGCCAGGACCUUCGCGAGAUCGGUCACGAGCCGCUCCGCGAGGCUCCGGCUGAAGUCCUCGCGGAUGACCACACGGAGGACCGCGACGUGCUCCGCGUUGGGGGGCAUGGUGUAGGCCGGCACGAUCCACCCGAACCGCCGCAGGCUCUCCGAUAUCUCGAAAACGGUGUACGUGCCCCCGUCCUUCAGGGAGAAUGCGACCAGCGGCACGCCGACGUCCUUCGAGAGGAUGUCGAAUUUGCCGGUCUUCUCUAUGCCUUCUUUCAGUACCCUAGCAUUCUCCAUGCAGUUCUCCAUGAUGUUCUUAUAUCCCUACAAAGACGCGAGAAAUACGUAUAAACCUUAUCUAAACUUUAAAUUAACUAUUUCGAAUUAGUUAACUGAACUUUCAAAAUUUUGAAAGGUUCAGUAGUAAAAUCAAAAUUUUGAAAGAUCGAAUAAUCAAUUCAAAAUGGUUUAUAAUUCAGAUAAGUUUCAUAAGUUUUUACUCGUUUUAGAAUUCAAUCCUUGAAAAAAUAAAAUGACAUUUGAUUCACAUGGAGAUUGUGAUAUAGCAUCUACAACUAAUCAACUAAAUCUUGUGAAUGAAACAAAUUGCUACCUCAAAGCCCAAACGGAUGAACUGGUAGUACUGAGCAAUGAUCUGACUCGAACCUGCGAAAAAUAAAACGAAAAAAAUUCUUCACAAAAACAAUUAUGUAGAUUUGCAAACAACCAACAAUGUUUUAGUAUAUAUGUUAAGUUUCAAAAAGGAGUCAUGCAUGAACCUUUUGAGAAAUUGAGGGUGAAUGUCGGUUGAUCCGCGCCGAGAUAGUUUAUGUGGAAAAUGAGCUCUUCAGGUAGAUCUUCUUUGCUCCUCCAAACAACCCAUCCGACGCCGGCGUAAACGAGGCCGUACUUGUGGCCGCUGACAUUGAUGCUCUUCACUAGCGGAAGUCGGAAGUCCCAUUCUAGUUCGGGGUAGAGGAAAGGCGCAAUGAACCCUCCACUCGCGGCAUCGACAUGGAUCGGUGUGUCCCACCUGCAGUUGCAGUGUUUUCGUGUGAAAACUAUCACUCCAUAGACUAGAAUAUUAUUGGUAGCAAAUGAGCUCCGUUACUAUCGAUUUAUUUUCGACGAUAGAGCUUCCAAAUUGACGAUCGAUACUAUUAAACAUGAUUUACAUCAUUUGAAGCAGUUAAAAAAUCAAAUUUCAUAUUUUUCCGACAUUGUUCUCUUGUGCAUCAUCAUAUGAAUGCAAAAAUGAAUAUCCUUUCAAAAUUAAAGUAGAGUGCAUAGAUCUUGUUUUUAAUAGUUUAAAAUUUUUCUAAUAAAAAUCUAGCUGAUUUAAAUUUUUUUACACUGUUAAACGAGCAACGCUUCGUAUCUAUCAUUAAAAUUAUAAAUUUUACAACCCUUUCAUUAUUAGGCCAAUGGUGUCGAAAAUGUACCAAAUUUGAUUUCUAGGUAUUUUAAAUGGUCUCGAUUAUAUUCAAUGAUGCAAAUCAUCGAUUUGAAAGCUCUAUCAUGAAAAAAAAAUCAAUAGUAAUGGUGCCGAUUUGCUAUCGAUAUUAUUGUAGCCCAACUCUCUGUCUUUAAAUCAUGCAGAUUACAAUGAAAAGAAUUGAGUUUGCGGUAAAAGAAAAAUCGCUAUUUAGUUAUCCUAGCACCAAAAUUAGGGUUUUGAGUGAGAGAAUUCGAAAGCUAUCCUAAUUUUUAGCAUUUCUGGUGAAGUGGCUAUUCGCAGGACUCAAAUACAGCAAUUAUGUGUGGUUUGCACAACAAGGACAUUACUGUUGCAGUUAUUUCAAAUAAAACUAGUACAAACAACAAUUGCCAACAACAAAUUCAAAGCAGAGAAAUGAUUCGGUACUUUUUUUAAAAAAAAAUAAAAAAGAUCUUAACCGUUGAUUAAUAGAGGGUAAAAAUGUAAUUUUAAUACUUAGCAGGUAAAAAUAUUAUUUUAUUCAAGGUUAGUUUGGUAAUUAAACAAUACAACAUUUAAAGAAACUUUCAAUUGAGGUCCUAAAUUUACGCACUAAUUAGCACUAAUUUAGGAAAUUAAUUGAUGAACCAAAUUUAUGCAAUUAUUAGGCAUUAAUUUAGACAUCUACUUUAAAUGUUUUAGUGUUUCUAAAAUUAUGCAUUAAUUUAAAUUAUAGAAAUUUUAGAAAUAGUUUUAUUUCUAAAUACGAUGAAUUUAAAUUUUAAAAAUUAACUACUUAAAAUUUAAAAGUAAAAUUUAAAUUAGAGGAAUGUCAUAUUAUCUCUAUUCGGAAGUUUAAAAUAAUGUUUUAGAAACAAUUAUCUCUAUUCCGAAUAGAGAUAAUAGUUUUAAAUUAGUGUUUCUAGUUAAAAUAAAAAAAAUUUGACAAAUAAAGAGAAAACACUAAAACACUAAGUUAAUGUUUCUAGUCAACAUAUUUAAUAUGUUUGAAAACAUUUAAGAAUUUUUUUAAUUUAGAUACUAAUUCUUUAUCACUAUUUAAAAAAUUUAAUGUAGAUAGUUGAUUAGAAAUAUAGGGUAAGGAUAUAAUUCAAAUUUAUUUUUAUAAUAUAAUUGUAUAGACAAAAUUAAUUCAAGAUUUGAGAUAAUGCUACACACAUUUUCCAUCGGAAUAUUGUUUUCUAAUCUAUCAGCCAUCGCAAAUUUCAACAAGCUAUUACUAUAAAAAAUUCUCAGAUCGAACUAGAAAAAAAUUAACUAACAAAUUAAAUCACAAAAUAAUCUAAAUUUUAUUCUUAUUUUAUUAAAAAAAGAUUUAAAAAGCAAUAGGUAUGGAAAGAAAUUUAAAUACAUAGUUUCUUAAAAUUAAACUUUCUUGCAAUAUUAAACAAAUAAUUAAACAAAGAGAAAAGAAAAAUUAAAAGAUCAUAUUGUCAAAUUAUUUGAAAUAUUCCUUAUAUGAAAUGCCAAAUUAUAAAAGAAAAGAUAGAGAGAAAAAAAAAAAUAGAAAAAAUUUUUUGAAAACAUAGUAGAUGUAAAAUGACUAAAUUGCUCAUGUAUUAAAAGACAAAAAUACCUUUUUUUGAGGUACCUGGUAACCGGUACCUCUCCCAAAGUAACCUGCUAUUGCAGGUCACCAUUUUAAAAAAAUUAAAUCUGAGCCGUUGAAUAUGCGUGAAUGAACGGUAAUAAAACAAAAAAAGUAUAGAAGCAUUACUCUUCAAAACAAGAUAUGUAGCGUAAAUAUGCCCUAAUCGAAAUAAUGACCAGGUGCAGUGACAAAUGAAUAUAGUUAGUCACUUAAGUUAAAUUCACUAAUUGUUAAAUACAAAAAUAUUUAAACACCGUUCCCUAACAGCUUAAGUUUUUAGAGUACAACGGUUGUUUCACAUGGUAUCAGAGCAGGAGGUCCUAAGUUCGAGUCACGCUAGACUCCUAACAUAUUAAUUUCCUCCAAUUUAAUUCAAGCCGGUUGUUUCACACUAAUACACUACUUAUUUCUAACUAGAAUCACGUAUAAUGCCUUAAUAAAGGAAUAAAAGGAACUUACCCUGUCUCCUUGUUCUUCUCCGUAAGGAGGUCGUUUAACCGUUUAACGUCCUCGAACUCUCCGGUGAGAGUCGAACCCAAAAUGGCGGCGACGCAGAUAGUGUUCUCAUCCACCAACUCGACGGCCUUCUCGGGGUCCAUGACAUAAUACCCAUCCCUCAGCCUCACCUCCUUCAGUUCUACUUCGAAGUACCUCGCGAAUUUCUCCCAGCAAACCUAGCAAAAAAUGUACGAAACUUACGCAAACAUUCUAACGAAACAUUCCGUAAUCUAAAGCGGAAUAUUCCGUCACUCGACGGCAUGUCAUUAACAGUUAGUUCGACGGUCGAAACCAAAAUUUUUAAAUUUUUGAAAGAUGGUGGUUAUGGAACCUGGACAUUGGCACCAGUGACAAUGUUUGGUUUGUCAAUUGGCUUGCCUUCUGCCCUUCUCUUAUUCUGCCACCUCCUCUUGAAUGCUAACCCUGCCAGCAUUAUGGCUUCUGAGGAUCCGACAGUUCCGACUCCGACCGCCGUUUCGUCGUCUCCGAUCGGCGCAUUGAAAAGGUGGGCUAUCAUAUUCACACAUCGGUUCUGCACGACGAUAACCGCGUUGCAAUAAAUCCCACAAUGUAUAGAACAAGAACAAGCUUUUGAGUUGACAUACUAAUUACAUAAAGAGGGAUUUGAAGCAGUAGAUGAUCGAAGUAAUUAACUCAUUUCAAUAUAAGUGCAUGGUUUAUUUCUAUAAUAAAGGAGUAGAUUAAAAGAAUUACACGAGAUAAUAAAAAUUUGACAUUAUUAAUUUCCUGUGCAACAAACUCAAUUGUGUCGACUGCGGAAAUUGUGAGAUUCUAGAUUACGGAUAUCUCAAAUUAUUUUUAAAUCAUUUGCUAACUUCGAUCUUAGGGAAACACUUGUGAUUUGUUAACAAGUCUAUAAAAGAGGUAACAAAUUGAACUUCGAAGUGCAUAUGUAAAAAAUAGGAAUUUUUAAGGGCAUUCGGUAAAUGGUUACAAAUGAGCAAAACAACCAUGCAUGAGCCGUGGGCCAGCUAAUACUAAUACUAUAGAGUUAAUUUCAUACAGGUCCCUACAAAUAUAGUGAAUAACAAAUAUAUCCCUAUAAAAUUCAACUUUUAUAUAUUGUUUCGGUAAAAGUUCUAAUAUUUUACCGUUAGAGAACCGUUUGAGAACUGUUUAUAUUUUUAAUUUUAUCAUCACAAAUAUGACUGUCCAAAAAUCAUAAUAAUAUAAUAUAAGAGGGGUAAAAACAUCAUAAAUUAAUCAGGAUUUAGUAUUUAAUCUAUGAUUAACUAAAAUUUUCUAAUGGAUUCUAACAGUAGAGAUAUAUUUGAAAAUAUCAGAACUUUUGUAGGAACAAUAUAUAAAAAUUAAACUUUAUAGAAAUUUACUUGUCAUUUAUUAUGUUUGCAAGGAUCUGUAUAAAAUUAAUCCUUUACUAUAUUAUUGAGAGUGUCUGUUUGUUUCUAUACGUAAUAUUCAUAUUCGUUUUGAACCUGGAGCUCGGUAGUGACGGGGUACUCGUCCAUGUCGACGUAGUUCUUGUUGACGGCGGCCAUGAUGAGGCGGUCGCACUCCGGCUCCAUCCACGUCGUCACGAACGACGCUAGGUUCAGCCGCGGGUUCCCGUCCAGCAUCAGCUCGUCGUUGAUUAUCUGGUACGCGGCAUCCUUCGGUAUCACCCUCUCCGGAAUCUUAAACUUAAUUAUUAUUAUUUUAGAAUUAUCAUAGCAAUAAUAAUAUAUAAUAUUAUUAUAUAUAAUUUUGUGCCGCGGCACUUGAAUUCUUGCGGAAAAAAAAAAACUCAAACCUGGGAAGCGGUGCGCGGACGUAACGGGAGGCGAAGGUGGAGUGCAACGACUCCGCGGUAUCUGUCGUCGUCGUCGUCAACACCAUCUCGCUGAUUCGAUUUGAUUUGAUUUGAUUUGGUUUGAUUUGAUUGGUGUGUGUAUGAAACUACGGAGGUGAAAAAUGAGAGUUAAUUAGAAGGGUUUUAGCUUUUUCUUUAGAAAGAAGAGAGGUUCCUAUUAAUUCCGCCGUAAAUAAAAAUAAAAAUAAAAGUAAAAAAAAGAGCCGGUGAAAGGUGGACACGUGGAGGCGUUGAUGGGUGACACGUGGAGUAGCUCUGCGGCGUGGUGAGCGGAGGAAGCUCGGGCCUACGGGAUCGGCGGAAAAACGGUUCCACUUCGUUAAAAAAAAUAAAACACAUUAAUUAUUAAUUAUACUAUUGAUCUCUCAAUUAUCACCAUUUCAUUUUUCGGUUUGAUUACUGGGUUUUUUUUUUUUUUUUUUUGGUAUUUUUAGGUUCCUAACUUCUAUAUUUUGUCUCAGCUCGAUCCAACUAUUCAAAUUUUAAGUUAUUUUGAUAAAAUAUAUCACGUCACUCGAUCAAAUCAUAUAUUAGUUUUAUUUUUUUGUGAAUCCAUUUGGUAUCAAAGCACGUCUAAUGCAAAUAGACUAAACAGAGUUAAAACAAAAGCAUAUUGAGAUUUACUUUUACUUUUUUCAAUAAAACAGUAUAAAAUGUAAUCUACUGUUCGAAAAUAAAUAUAAUAACUUUUAUCAAAGCAUAUAUCACAACUUUCCUGCAAUUCUAAAUAAAGAAUUAGAUAUCAAUGUCACACAUGAUUAGACGCCAAAAUGGCCAGAUACGUCAAAUAUACUGUCGCAUGCGAGAUUAAGAUGGUCUUAAGUACGGAGAACAUCAUUGAAGGCGAUUAGACUGGAUUUGACGCGAUAGAAUGCGCACACAGGAAAAGAGAUUCAAAAUCAAAAUGAAAACACGAAUAAAGAUUAGGGACCAAUGGCAUAAUAAUUCCAAAGGAAUAAGUAUCGGAUUCAACGAAAAAGAGAGUGGGAAUAAGUGGUGCAAUUAAUUUAAAAAAUGUUUGCUACCUCAAAAGUAUAUAUAUAUAUAUAUAUAAAAUACAAAAUUGCUACACAAGUAAACUCUUGUAUGGAACUUGGGUCAAACCAAGUAAGAAGCCCAACUCAACUAGCAUAUCCUUGAGAAACACAAACCCAAAAACAUUUCAAAAGCAUCAGAAGCGCUUUGCUCAAAAGCCAAAUAGGCUUUACCAACUCUCUCUUCUUAAUUAAUUCCCCCCAAAACCUAUAAACUAAGGCAAGCAAAGCACAAGAAUCCACUGUUUCCUCCUUUUAUGUAUUAAGCAUUGCCCCUUUUGUUUUUAGGCUCAUUUUUAAGUCUAAGAGGGUGUGGGUCACAUAAUAGAAAAAACCAAAUCAAACCAUGGUGUUGACACAGGUGCAACAGCUUGAUGAGGGCUCCUCCUACACCAGCUCGGUGUUUGCAUCAAGAUACGUGCAAGAUCCUGUCCCAAGGUUUGUUUUCUCAUUCAUUUUCUUUUUUUUUUUUUUUCUAUAAUCUGUUUUUUUCGUAAACUUUGAAGUUUUGAGGGGCCUUCUAAUACAUUUGUUCUUAUAAUUUUGUCCGUAUCACUUUAGGUGCUAUGACGUUGUUAUUUUGAUUCUAAUACAUUCUUAGAAUUUGAAAUAGUUUUAUAUAUAAACCCAACAGAUUAAGAGGAUUGAGCGAGUUUAAGAUUAGAAUAGUUUUAAAAUGGAUGGCCUUUCAGAAAAGCGAGACGUCACAUUAGGUGUUUGAAAUCUAUGUGCGCCUACGUUAGGAGAUUAUUGUUGUAAGAAAAGAGAGAUAAUUUUGGAAGAGUAGUACAGGUACGAGCUGGGAACGAGCUCAAUAUCGAAGGAGGCGGCGUACCAGCUAAUCCACGACGAGCUGCUGCUGGACGGCAGCCCCCGGCUGAACCUGGCGUCGUUCGUGACGACGUGGAUGGAGCCCGAAUGCGACCGGCUAAUGACCGAGACCGCCAACAAGAACUACGUCGACAUGGACGAGUACCCCGUCACUACGGAGCUUCAGGUAUAAAAAAAAAAGAGAAAAGGCUUUACAAUAAAUAGCUUACUUAUGCUGAUGUGACAAAAUAUCAGUGCACAUUGGGUGUGUGGAUUUCUGUGCACAGGACGAUCCGGUCGCUCAUUAACGGUUGAAUAAAUUCAUACCGUCUGACAUGAACAUUGAGGAUUCAUUAUGCUGCUAAUGAGUGGUACCGGGAUCACUCCACGAAGAAAAUUCAUAUUAUCAGUACAAAAUUAUGUUAGUUUAAAAUAUGACUUUUAUAGAAAACGAUUCAAAAAUAGUAAUCGUAAGAAUUAUGCCAAAACCAUGUUGAUAACAAUAUCCUCAUUCUUGUUUUUCUUUACCAGUUGCAAUUCUAUCUAUUAGAUGAACUACAUAUAAACUAUUUUAACUGCUAAAAUUUUCGAAGAAAACGCAACAAAUUAUACUAUCAUUUUCUUCUUUCUGAAUCUCUUCCUGCGUAGAACCGAUGCGUGAACAUAAUCGCGCGGCUCUUCAACGUGCCCUUGAACGUGAAAGAGGCCGCGGUCGGGGUGGGCACGGUGGGCUCGUCGGAGGCGAUAAUGCUCGCGGGUUUGGCAUUCAAGAGGAGGUGGCAGAACAGGAGACGAGCUGAAGGGAAGCCUUAUGACAAGCCCAACAUUGUUACAGGGGCCAAUGUGCAGGUAACUAAACAUCAACUAACAUCUUCAUGAACUACUUCCACUCAUUCCGCGGUUUAGGAGAAACAAUUUGUCAAAUAUUAUUGUACUAAAUUGAGUACAAACCAGCAUAGAUUCUAUUGAACCACUUGGAUAGCGAUAUUAACAGAGCAGGAGUUAUUAUUGCCAGAAUCGAUUUGCACAAAAAUAUUGUCAUGGAAAGCCGUUCUAAAAGGGUUUUCAGAAUAAAGAAGUUAUUCUAGAAGCCAGAUCGAAGAAACACAAGACUAAUAUUGCUUCGCUAUUUUACCGUUUGUAUUAAUUUUUUUUUUUUUUUUAAAAAAAUUGAGGUAUGUUGUGAGAAAUUCGCGAGAUAUUUUGAGGUGGAGCUCAAGGAGGUGAAGUUGAGGGAAGGGUUUUAUGUGAUGGACCCUGAGAAAGCUGUUGAAAUGGUGGAUGAGAACACCAUUUGUGUCGCGGCGAUUUUGGGCUCAACAUUGACGGGGGAGUUUGAAGAUGUGAAGCUUCUUAACAAUCUCCUAACACAAAAGAACAAGAGAACAGGGUAACAUUUCAAAAUCUUCCUUUUUUAACUCGUAUAAAUCCGACCAAUUAAUAGUAUAAUGCUGCAUUUUAAAUUAGUUUGGAUUUUAUGAGAACUUUUGGACCCAACCACAAACUUAAAAAGAUGGUUAAUGACACAGGUGGGACACUCCAAUUCAUGUAGAUGCAGCAAGUGGGGGAUUCAUUGCACCCUUCUUGUACCCUGAAUUGGAGUGGGAUUUUAGAUUGCCUUUAGUGAAGAGCAUUAAUGUGAGUGGCCACAAAUAUGGCCUUGUUUAUGCUGGUGUUGGUUGGGUCAUAUGGAGGAGCAAAGAAGAUUUACCUGAUGAACUCAUCUUCCACAUCAACUAUCUUGGUGCAGAUCAACCCACAUUCACCCUCAACUUCUCUAAAGGUAUAUAUAAAUAGAGUGCGUCUGGGGUGCUUUUGGAAGCACGGAGUACUCCGUGCUUCCAAGUUGUUUUCGAUGUUGGGACUUUCAAAUCGACGAUCGGCUCCGUUAGACUUGAUCUAGAGUAUUUGAAGUAUCUAGAAAAUAAAUUUCGCGAUUUUUCGAUAUCAUUUGCCUAGUGAUCGAAGAGGCUCAAAAUCAACGGCUGAAAAUAAAAAUCUUACAAAAUAUGAUGAUAUGAUAUUAAAAUUUUAGAUCAAAGUUAUUGAUCUUGUUUUAUAUGGUAUAAAGAAUUUUCUAUCAAAAUUUCAUGUGAUUUGGAUAUUUCUACACCGUUAAACUUGCAAACGGCUCACCACGGCCAUUAAAAUUAUUGAUUUUGAGCCUCUUCGAUCACUAGGCAAAUAAUAUCGAAAAAUCACGAAAUUUAUUUUCUAGGUACUUGAAAUACUCUAGAUCAACUCUAACGGAGCCGAUCGUCGAUUCGAAAGUCUGAACAUCGAAAACAACUUGGAAGCACGGAGGACUCCGUGCUUCCAGAAGCAUACCGGCCCACUCUAUAUAAAUAUAUAUAUAUAGUGCAUCAGCAGUUUACUAUUAUUUGUUUGCAGUAUGAUAUUUUGUACUUCUGAUUUGAUUUUCUUUAACUUUUUCGAAAAGAUUUGCAUCGAAUAAGGACCGUACCGUGCUAUACUUUAUAAGUUACAUAUUGUCAAAAUAUAACACUUUACAAUUCUGCGAUUUACACUUUACUAUUGUAUCGCCUCGUACCAGCAGGUUCUUACGUUAAAAUAAAACUAAAACUACAAAGAGUGCAAAGCAUUCUGACUACGUAGCAGUAAACUACAAAAGCAUUAUACUUUUUUUGUACACUUUUAAAUUUGGAAAUUGCGCGAAUGUUUGUACAAAUUAGUGUAUAUUUGUGUAGUGGCAAUGCACUUUUUAUGCAUACUUGUAUGAUUGUAUUCGAAUCUUUGUUGAAGAAUUUCUAAUAAAUUCUCAUUUUGGGUGCAGGAUCUAGUCAAAUAAUCGCUCAAUAUUAUCAGUUCCUACGGUUAGGUUUCGAGGUACAUAUUCUUUCUAUAAUUCGAACAAAAUAAUGAUCCUUUUAUGUAAGUAUAGCUACAAUAUUUAUUAGUCAAAAUUUUUGGACAAAAAUCCAAAUAUCUCUAGAUAGUUUAAAUUUGUGCACAUCAUACUUUAAACUACAUAUAAACCAUACCAAUAAUAAAUGAAAGUUUUUGAUUCAAAUUAGAGAGUACAAAUGAAUGUUGUGACUCCUCCAGGGUUAUAGGAAUGUGAUGAAUAACUGCAUGGAGAGUGCUAAGAUCCUCCGAGAAGGGCUCGACGCGACGGGCCGCUUCGACAUAAUCUCGAAGGAACAAGGAGUGCCACUAGUGGCAUUCUCAUUCAAAGAGAGAGACAAAACUCUGGCCUUCAAGUUCUCUAACCUCCUGCGGAGGUUCGGCUGGAUCGUCCCUGCUUACACUUUGCCGCCCGAUCUGGAAAACACGACGGUCCUUCGGGUGGUCAUUCGCGAGGAUUUCGGCCGAACUUUGGCCGAGAAGUUCCUCUCGCACGUCAAAAUGGCAUUAAAGGAGCUCGAUUCGAUGAUCAGGGCACCGGUGCCCACGAUACGGUACACGAUCGAAUUUGGACCUGGCGAGAAUGCGGGGGACGAGCCAAUGGUUAAGGUUGUGAAGCAAGAGGUAGGGGGGAUUCAAAAGAGUGUGCCUUUGCUAAGCGGGAAAACAAAGGGUGUUUGCUAAAUAUAUAACAAUCAAAAUUGAUGGACUUUGAGCUUGUAUAUAAAGAUUGAGAUGAAAAUAAUGUGGUGCUUUUAAUCCCCUAAGUAAUAAGAAUUAUUUGCAAGGUACGCUACCAUGGUUUAUAACGUUUUAUUUCGUAAAAUGCAUUAAAAUUUACGAAUAGCCUCUAUAUUUUUACAAUAUUGGGAUGUUCAUUAGAAUAAUUAACUAUCUAGUUGAAUUAAUCCAGAAUAAGAUGAUCAUUUUACUGGAAAUUUAACCUAUGUUGAAUCACGUGACUAAUGAGUAUUUAACCAAUACAGUGGAAAUGUGGUUUUUGUAGUGAAUUGCAAUGAAAUUAUUAUUUCGAUGAUACAUUUAUGCCUAGGGUUUAGUGGAAUUAGGUGGAAUAGUAUGUGACUAAUGAGUAUUUAACCAAUACAGUGGAAAUGUGGUUUCCGUAGUGAAUUGCAAUGAAAUUAUUAUUUCGAUGAUACAUUUAUGCCUAGGGUUUAGUGGAAUUCAGUGGAAUAGUAUCAAUACAAUAGUUAAAAAAAGGGAAAACUUCAAAAAACCCCCCUGUGGUUUCCAACUUUCUCACUUUACUAUCCUGUGGUUUAAAAUAUAUCAAUUUGCCCUUCUGUGGUUUUGUUUUUAUUUUUUCUAUAGCUUUUUUCUUAAUAUUUCGUUAAAUUAUAUGCAAAAAAAUAUCAGAUAUCUAUCUAGAUUUACCGAAUAUUUACUUUAGUACCCUUUAAUUUUAAUUUUGUCACUGAUUUGAGAAAAAAAAACAAUAAAAUUGAUAAAAAAAAAGAAGAGAAAAACGAAACCACAGGAGGGCAAAUUGAUACACUUUAACCACAGGGUACUAAAGUGAGAAAGUUGGAAACCACAGGGGGGUUUUUGAAGUUAUCCCUUAAAAAAAUGAUAGUAAAUAUUAUUCAUAUACUAUCGAUAAUAUAUAUUUAUAUAUAACGACUUAUUUGAAUUUCAAAUUUGAAAAUGAAUUAAAAGACUAUUCAUAUAUAUGAGAAUAAUGUUUACUUCAAAUUUUUUAUCAUUAAAUGUCUAGCAUGUUGUGGGAGGUAGGUGAGAGUAAUAAUUUCAAAAUAAAAAAAAUAAUUUUUUAAUCAUUAAAUGUUAGGCUGGUGUUGGAGUAGGUGAAAUAGUAAUAAUUCAAAAAUAAAAAAAAAAUUUUAAAGUAAAUAUUAUCCUAUAUAUAUAUAUAUAUAUAUAUAUAUUAUAGUAGUAGAUUAUUAUUCCUCAAUAACUGCACACGUGUUAGCGGAAGGCGGAGGCCGGGGGGCGGGGCGAGGGCGCGGGGCGCAGGCGCGAGUAGGGAUGUCAAUGGGUAUGGAUAUCCGAAAUUUUAUCUGAAUUCGAACCCGAAUAAAACGGAUAUAUCCGAUGGAUAUGGAUAUGAAUUCGACUAUGGAUAUCAAAAAUAAAAUCGACGGAUAUGGAUUUUGAUUGUACCUGACCCGAACCCGAACCCGAUUCGAAUCCGAAUUUAUUUUGUAUUUUAUAUAUAUAUAUAUAUAUAUAUAUAUAUAUAUAUAUAUAUAUAUAUAUAUAUUAUAAUAUUAUAUAUAUAUAUAUAUAUAUAUAUAUAUGGAUGUUAUAUUUGAAUUUGUAUUUUAAAAAUUUAGAUUUAAUAUAAUAUAUUUUGAAAUAUUGAAAAAAAUAAAUUAUUUCGGGUUCAAAUUUUCGGGUUCGGGUUUCGGAUUUUUGGUCGGGUUCGAGUUUGGUAUGGAUUAUUAAAAUCCGUCGAGUUCGGGUUCGGGUUCGGGUUCCGUCUGGGUUUGGAGUCAGUUUCGGUUCGGGUUUUAAAAAUCCGCCCCGAAUGACACCGUUGACAUCUCUAGGCGCGAGCCGAGGGCGGAGGCGAGGCGUGGGGGUGGGCUCCGGCGCUGGCGCAGACGCCGGGGCCGGCUCCGGCGCUGGCGCGAACGCGAGCCAAGGGCCGGAGGCGCAGGACGAGGGCGGACGCCGGCUCGGGUGGGCCAGCCCAGUGUGGGUUGGGCACUGGCGCGGGCGCUGGCGCGGCGGGGAGGGCCCAACAGGGGAGAGGAGAGGAUCUUUUUUAACUCUUUCUUAAUUUUUUUUUCUUUUCAUAUAUAGAAAAAAAAUUAUAUAUUUUUUAAAAUUUUAAUCUAUUUAUUAUUUUUUAUUAUAAAAUUUAAAAUAUAUAAAUAAUUAUUAAAUAGUUUAGACAGUUGUUAACUUGGUAUUGAAUAUAAAUGUUAAUUUUAUAAUAUUAAGAAUUCAGAUAUAAAUUAGACAUUAAAAAAUAAAAAAAAGAUUAAUACAGUUUAAGUUAAUUUUAUAUUUUACGAAAGUUGGUUGCAAGAAUCAUAUGAAAUAUACUAACUAAAACAUUAGUACGCAUCAGAUGCAAGGAAAGAUUUCUCUUCUCAUUUUACUGACUAAUGGGGGACUAUCAUGACUAUUAAAAAUUUUGAAUGUGCUGAUUGCACCAUUUAUCCCUUAGACACGUGCCCAUGUUUGGAAUAAUUAGCAUAAGAUAAUUUCAUUUGUACCCCUCAAAAGAUUAGAAAUAACAUAAAUAACAUUACAAAAUUAGUAAAUAUUUGGAAUAAUUAGCAUAGGAUAAUUUCAUUUGUACCCCUCAAAAGAUUAGAAAUAACAUAAAUAACAUUACAAAACUAGUAAUAUAAAAGCAAACAAAAGAGAAUAAGAUGAGAAAAUAUUUAAUAAAGUUGCAUAAUUAUUUCAAAAUAGCUUAUUGUUGAGAGAACUUCUUAUAUUUUCUAUGUUAAGGAAGAUAGCUGUAUUUAUUAAAAAUUGUUCCGUAAUUUAUCUGUAACAUUCCAUAAUUAUCCUAAAUUUAAUUUUUGUAACUGAUUUUAAAGAUUGAAUUUUAAAAUAACUACCCGCAGCAUCGCGCGGGUUCCUUAACUAGUAAUAAAUAAAAUCAUUAUUAUUAUUAUUAUUAUUAUUAUUAUUAUAACAAACAAUCACUUGACUUUCAAUUUUUUUUUUUUUUUGAGAGAUAGUUAGCACGCUACCCGCUUUGUUUAUUUUAUUUAGAAAUAAACUUAACUGAAAAUGUGAAUCAAUUAGGAUUCAUACUUGGGAUCUCAGAUACUAAUCAUCAAAUUUUUUAUCACUUGCUCUAUGGACGGUUGGUUUGACUUUCAGAUUAUUGAAGUGAACUUCUUGUGCACUUGCUUGGUUGAUGGCUUGAUUUGACGUUGAAAAGCUUGUCAAAAGAAGUUGAAGAGAAGAAGAGGGGAGAAGAAAUAAUCAACAACUUGACACUUGAAGUAGGUUCUUUUCAGAGAAUUCUUUAUUCUCCUCCUGCAUUAAUGCAUCUCUUCAAUUCCUCUUCACUUGGAAAAUCUAUGUUACACAUGAAAUUCAUGGGAGAGCAUUACCACUCCCCUAUCUUUCCCUUAUUAUUUGAAAAAUACCCUCUUUUAUUUAAGGGGAAAAUAUGUCACACUGUAAACAAUUAUUGCUACUAAUAUAUUUCUUAACAAUACAAAUACAUUUUUUAUCUUAAUCAAUCAUCUAGUACCGAAUUUUAAUGAUUAAUUUUAUGUAAACAUUUCAGUGCACUUUCAUACUAGGUGGGAAGCUCCUUGUGACCUAGAGUUUUUUUUUAUUAUUAUUACUUUUCAGGGAAGCUUCUAGGAAUUGUAUUUAUAUUAAGAAAAAUGUAAUGCGGAUUUCAAAAGUCCAACGGCAGCUUAUACUAAGAUUGACUUGGCAAUAUUGAGUUUUCAGUAGUCGGAUGAAAGUAUAUGCGGUUAGGAUGAUAGUGGACUCUUAGGGCUGAGUGGAUGGUUGAUUGAAUAGUAUAGUGUGACGGAUGAAAAUGAUCAAAGAGUAGGUCUAACGAUAGAAAAUUUGAUAAUACUAAGAACUUGAUACUAUCUCGAUAGUAUAGUAGUCGGAAUCUCGUAUAUAUAUUAUAUAUAUUAUAUAAUAUAUAUAUAAUAUAUAUAUAUAUAUAUUAUAUAUUAUAAUAUAGAAUUAUGUAUAUACUAUAUCAAUAGUUAUAUCAAGCCUUAGUACUAUUGAAUUUUUGGCCGUUGGAUGAAAGGAUGUGCGGUUAGGAUGAUAGUGCUUCCCAAUUAAAUGAUAGUAGUCUUCUAGGGUUGAGUGGGGGUGUUGUUUAAUAGUAUAAUCUAAUGGGUGUAAAUGAUCAAAAUGUAGAUCUAAUGGUAGGAAACUCAAUAGUACCAAGGGCUUGGUACUUAUCAAUAGUAUAGUAGCCGAACUAUAUAUAUAUAUAUAUAUAUAUAUAUAUAUAUAUAUAUAUAUAUAUAUAUAGAGAGAGAGAGAGAGAGAGGAGAGAGAGAGGCUACUAUGCUUUUGGAAGCACCGGACCCUUCGUGCUUCCAGGUCAUUUCUCAUGUUGCGAAUUUCGAAUCAUCGAUCGGCUCUGUUAAACUUGAUUUGGAGUAUUUGAAGUACCUAGAAAAUAAAUUAUGCGAUUUUUUGAUAUUAUUUGCCUAGUGGACGAAGAGGCUCAAAAUCAACGGCUGAAAAUAAAAUCUUACAAAAUGUAAUAAUAUGACAUUAAAAUUUUAGAUCAAAGAUAUUGAUCUUGUUUUAUAUAGUAUAACGAAUUUCUAUCGAAAUUUUACUGAUUUGGAUAUUUCUACACCGUUAAGUUUGCAAACGGCUAACUGCGGCCAUUAAAAUUAUUGUUUUGAGCCCCUUCGAUCACUAGGCAAAUGAUAUUGAAAAAUCAUAAAAUUUAUUUUCUAGGUACUUCAGAUACCUCUAGAUCAAAUUUAACGGAGUCGAUCGACGAUUCGUAGUAACCUCUCUCUCUCUUCUCUCUCUUUCUCUUCUCUAGUAUAUAUAUAUAUAUAUAUAUAUAUAUAUAUAUAUAUAUAUAUAUAUAUAUAUAUAUAUAUAUAUUUCUUAUUCUACUAGUUGUUAACUAGAAAUAAUUUUUUUAAAAAAAAAUAAAGUAAGUUUAGGAAAAAAAAAAUCUAGUUUUGUAAAAAUUUAUUAAAAACUAACACUUUAAUUAUU
rnacentral:lncRNA from 1 species